UACGAAGGGGGCUAGCGUUGCUCGGAAUCACUGGGCGUAAAGCGCACGUAGGCGGGUCUUUAAGUCAGGGGUGAAAUCCUGGAGCUCAACUCCAGAACUGCCUUUGAUACUGAAGAUCUCGAGUUCGGGAGAGGUGAGUGGAACUGCGAGUGUAGAGGUGAAAUUCGUAGAUAUUCGCAAGAACACCAGUGGCGAAGGCGGCUCACUGGCCCGGUACUGACGCUGAGGUGCGAAAGCGUGGGGAGCAAACAGG
rnacentral:rRNA from 1 species